CUGGCUUCCACCUGUGUUUCCCUUUCAGCUGUGCACUGCGGCCCGGGGAACAUUCAGGCCCUUGCUAGUCCAGCUCGCUGCUCGUCUCCAUGUUCACAGGCUUGUCUUGGGCCCUCUUCCAAGUCAGUGGCGGUAAUGUUUUCGAGGGUGCAAAUCCCUCUGCAAUCUGACAAAGGCUCUGGGCAAACUGUGGAGGUUUGCACAGAAUCUCAGGGUCUCACCCGAUCCCCCGCCAAAAGGACUGAGCUGGGCUCAUGGGCACAGGGUCUGCACACCUACUUUCUACUGAUAAAAGCUGCUGCAUUCCUCGAGAAAUCCUCGAGACGGUGCUUUUUAUGAUUUGUUUCCUCCAACGCCGAGCACAGGGCAGCAGCGCUUGGCUGUGUCCUUCUGCACCCACAUCUGGCUCGGAGACCCACCUCCGCCCAAUGGGAAUGUGAGCAUCACAGCUGGGUGCCCUGAGCCCAAGGCUGGGAGACGAAGAGCACCCAGAGCACCCGGCAGACCCGAGGCCUGUGCUGUGCUGCACUGCUGAGCCUUCUGGAGGCCAGCUGCUCACCUCAGCAGGGGCCCCAGGGUACUGACUCUGGCCACGGGAUCGUGUUCAUCUCUCCUCUGAUCUUAGUGGCUCUGCAGACCAAGAGGGCAGCCUGAGGUCUGGAGGGCAAUGGGAAAACAGUGCACAGUGAAGGGUCAUAGACCCCGUGGGUCGAAUCAAAAAUGUUCACAGAGGAAUCCCAGGAGGGAUGCUGGAGGCCGCCAGUCAAUUCAGGAGGAAAGUGUGGCCCCCGAGGGUAAAUGAUGGGGUCUGGCAGAUUCUGAAGGAAGAGGAAAGAGGGAAGGGGAGCUUGCAGACGGGCCCAGCUGAAGACGGGGAGGCCAUCUCCUGCGUCCCUGGGGCUCACGCCAGCCAGGGGCGCCCUGUGGUCCUGCUCCCCCCAUGGAUCAGCAACAGGUGCCCUGUGCAGGAGCCCUGUCCAGGUGAACCAACCAUAGGCUGGGAAGGGCCAGCUGCUUCAGUGGCCCAGGUGUGGGGGCAGGUCCAACAAGGACAGCGGUGCCCUGGCUCAAGGGCCAUUCAGGGCCGGUUGAGGGAGAAUGUGCAUUUCUCAAAGGGCAGCUUCAGUCCUCCGAGUCAGCUUCCCAGGAAAC
rnacentral:lncRNA from 1 species